rnacentral:sRNA from 1 species
GCCAGGUUCGGUGGUGCACGCCUGUAAUCCCAGCCUCUCAGGAGGCUGAGGCAAGAGGAUGGCGAGUUCAAAGCCAGCCUCAGUAACUUAGUGAGGCCCUUAGCAACUCAGUGAGACCCUGUCUCUA